UACGUAGGGAGCGAGCGUUAUCCGGAUUUAUUGGGUGUAAAGGGUGCGUAGGCGGUCUAUUAAGUCUGUGGUCUAAGCCCGAAGCUUAACUUCGGUUCGCCACAGAAACUGAUUGACUUGAGUAUGGUAGAGGCAAGUGGAAUUUCUAGUGUAGCGGUUAAAUGCGUAGAUAUUAGAAGGAACACCAGUGGCGAAGGCGACUUGCUGGGCCAUCACUGACGCUGAGGCACGAAAGCGUGGGGAGCAAAUAGG
rnacentral:rRNA from 1 species